rnacentral:rRNA from 1 species
CCUACGGGAGGCUGCAGUGAGGAAUAUUGGUCAAUGGACGGAAGUCUGAACCAGCCAUGCCGCGUGCAGGAAGACGGCUCUAUGAGUUGUAAACUGCUUUUGUACAAGGGUAAACCUGAAUACGUGUAUUCAGCUGAAAGUACUGUACGAAGAAGGAUCGGCUAACUCCGUGCCAGCAGCCGCGGUAAUACGGAGGAUCCAAGCGUUAUCCGGAUUUAUUGGGUUUAAAGGGUGUGUAGGCGGAUGGAUAAGUUAGAGGUGAAAUGUCCGAGCUUAACUCGGGAACUGCCUCUAAUACUGUUGAUCUAGAGAGUAGAUGCGGUAGGCGGAAUGUAUGGUGUAGCGGUGAAAUGCUUAGAGAUCAUACAGAACACCGAUUGCGAAGGCAGCUUACCAAUCUAUAUCUGACGUUGAGGCACGAAAGCGUGGGGAGCGAACAGGAUUAGAUACCCGAGUAGUC